AACGAACGCUGGCGGCGUGCUUAACACAUGCAAGUCGAACGUGAAGGGGCUUCGGUCCCUGGAAAGUGGCGCACGGGUGAGUAACACGUGGAUAAUCUACCCGAUGAUCCCGGGAUAACCUUUCGAAAGGGGGCGUAAUACCGGGUAAGCUCACGAACUCCUCGGAGUUUGCGGGAAAAGGUGGGGACCUUCGGGCCUACCGUCAUCGGAUGAGUCCGCGGCCCAUUAGCUAGUUGGUGGGGUAAUGGCCUACCAAGGCAACGAUGGGUAGCUGGUCUGAGAGGAUGAUCAGCCACACUGGAACUGAGACACGGUCCAGACUCCUACGGUGGCUG
rnacentral:rRNA from 1 species